rnacentral:miRNA from 1 species
GCACUGUUUGCCUUCGUGCUCAGUAGACCCGCAUUUGUAGCAAGUCGGAUAGGCAGCAGUGC